rnacentral:rRNA from 1 species
UAAUACAUGCAAGUCGAGCGGAUUGAUGGGAGCUUGCUCCCUGAUAUCAGCGGCGGACGGGUGAGUAACACGUGGGUAACCUGCCUGUAAGACUGGGAUAACUCCGGGAAACCGGGGCUAAUACCGGAUAACUCAUUUCCUCGCAUGAGGAAAUGUUGAAAGGUGGCUUUUAGCUACCACUUACAGAUGGACCCGCGGCGCAUUAGCUAGUUGGUGAGGUAACGGCUCACCAAGGCAACGAUGCGUAGCCGACCUGAGAGGGUGAUCGGCCACACUGGGACUGAGACACGGCCCAGACUCCUACGGGAGGCAGCAGUAGGGAAUCUUCCGCAAUGGACGAAAGUCUGACGGAGCAACGCCGCGUGAGUGAUGAAGGUUUUCGGAUCGUAAAGCUCUGUUGUUAGGGAAGAACAAGUGCCGUUCGAAUAGGGCGGCACCUUGACGGUACCUAACCAGAAAGCCACGGCUAACUACGUGCCA